AGUGAACGCUGGCGGUAGGCCUAACACAUGCAAGUCGAACGGCAGCACAGUAAGAGCUUGCUCUUACGGGUGGCGAGUGGCGGACGGGUGAGGAAUACAUCGGAAUCUACUUUUUCGUGGGGGAUAACGUAGGGAAACUUACGCUAAUACCGCAUACGACCUGCGGGUGAAAGCAGGGGAUCUUCGGACCUUGCGCGAUUGAAUGAGCCGAUGUCGGAUUAGCUAGUUGGCGGGGUAAAGGCCCACCAAGGCGACGAUCCGUAGCUGGUCUGAGAGGAUGAUCAGCCACACUGGAACUGAGACACGGUCCAGACUCCUACGGGAGGCAGCAGUGGGGAAUAUUGGACAAUGGGCGCAAGCCUGAUCCAGCCAUACCGCGUGGGUGAAGAAGGCCUUCGGGUUGUAAAGCCCUUUUGUUGGGAAAGAAAAGCAGCAGGUUAAUACCCCGCUGUUCCGACGGUACCCAAAGAAUAAGCACCGGCUAACUUCGUG
rnacentral:rRNA from 1 species